CAUUACUACAUUUGGCUGCAUU
rnacentral:miRNA from 8 species